UACGGAGGGUGCAAGCGUUAUCCGGAUUCACUGGGUUUAAAGGGUGCGUAGGUGGGUUGGUAAGUCAGUGGUGAAAUCUCCGUGCUUAACAUGGAAACUGCCAUUGAUACUACUGAUCUUGAAUUUUCUGGAGGUAAGCGGAAUAUGUCAUGUAGCGGUGAAAUGCUUAGAUAUGACAUAGAACACCAAUUGCGAAGGCAGCUUGCUACAGGGAUAUUGACACUGAGGCACGAAAAGCGUGGGGGAUCAAAACAGG
rnacentral:rRNA from 1 species